rnacentral:rRNA from 1 species
UACGUAGGGAGCGAGCGUUAUCCGGAUUUACUGGGUGUAAAGGGCGAGUAGGCGGACUUACAAGUCAGUUGUGAAAUCUGGGGGCUUAACCCCCAGCCUGCAAUUGAAACUGUAAGCCUUGAGUGAUGGAGAGGCAGGCGGAAUUCCCAGUGUAGCGGUGAAAUGCGUAGAUAUUGGGAGGAACACCAGUGGCGAAGGCGGCCUGCUGGACAUUAACUGACGCUGAGGCGCGAAAGCGUGGGGAGCAAACAGGAUUAGAUACCCUGGUAGUCCACGCCGUAAACGAUGGAUACUAGGUGUGGGAGGUAUUGACCCCUUCCGUGCCGCAGUUAACACAAUAAGUAUCCCACCUGGGGAGUACGACCGCAAGGUUGAA